GAUCCUGGCUCAGGAUGAACGCUGGCGGCGUGCUUAACACAUGCAAGUCGAACGAAGUUUUUUGAGAGCUUGCUCUUAAAAAACUUAGUGGCGGACGGGUGAGUAACGCGUGGGUAACCUGCCUUAUACUGUGGAAUAAUCACUGGAAACGGUGACUAAUACCGCAUGUCGUCUUUUGAGGGCAUCCUCGAAAGAAAAAAGGAUUUAUUCGGUAUAAGAUGGACCCGCGUCUGAUUAGCUAGUUGGUGAGAU
rnacentral:rRNA from 1 species